GCUUCCUCCUCCAGUGCUUCGCACUGGGUACAGCAAUCCCUGCUCCACGCAAGGCACGCCGACACGCACACACCCGCCCAGAGAGUCUGCUCGAAUGCCUCUCUCAGCGCCUCACCACCCUGGUCUAAGAAGAGAUGGCUCAGCCUCUUGCAGUACCAAGGCGUGUGAGGCAGCUCACAAUCACCUGGAACUUCAACCCCAGAAGGAUCUAAUUUCCUCUUCUAGACUCCUCAGGCUUUGCACUCGUGGACACAGACCCACAAACAGACGUACGCAUAAACAUAAUUAAAGGUUUCUUUGGGUUUAAUUUGGUUUCUGUGAUGGAGUCACACGUAUCCCAAGCUGGACUAGAAUUGGGGAACGACCUUGAACUUCUUACCUCCUCCUUCCACCUCUCAAGUGUCAAGAUUACAGGUGUGUGGCACCACACCUGGUUUAUGUGGUGCUAGGGAUCAAACACGGGGCUUUGAAAAUGCUGGGCAAGCACUGGACCAACUGAGCUGCAUCCCAACCAUAUAUUUUUUUUUAAUUUUAAUUUCAUUGACUGCAAUUCUUACACAUAACAGGAUGCAGCAUGUUGUUUCAACACGUGAGCUAACUGAAUGAGGUAACUAGUAUCCCCUACCCUUAAUGUUUCUCGGCUUUUGCAGCCAGUAAGCUCCUGUUUUUAACAUCUUCAUGAAAUAAGUAACAGGUUAGUCUGAACUAUAGUCUCCCGCUCUACUUUUGUAGCACCAGAAUUUAUCCAGGUGUGCCUGGGUUCUCACCCUCUCUGCCUUCUAUCUUUCCCAGGUUCUAAUCAUAGCAAAUUUUUGCCUUCUCUGUGUGGCAGAGAACGUGCAGUAAUUGCCUUUUUGUGUCUGGCUUAUUUGGUACAAUGUCCUCCAGCCUCAUGCAUUUUGCUGCAAAUGAGACUUUUGUCCUUCUUCAUGUCUGAAGACUGUGUAUCUGUACCCAUUCUCUGUUCAGCCUCUGACGGACACCUGGGUGAAUCCACAUCCUAGCAAUUAUAAACAGUGUUGUGGGACUUUGGAGUUGACUCUGGAGGUGAUUCUGAUAAUACAUAUAUAUCAAUACAUAUAUAUCAAUGCUGAGCUUAGAAUUGAUUCUUAUUUGAUGCAAACUACAGGUAUGGUGUCUAACUUGUAGACGGUUGAAUUAAGCAUGCAUGGUUGCUUGUAAAUGCAGGAAGAUAAUAUUUAUUCAAAGAAACAGUCUGUCUCUAAAACCACAAAAAGCUGACAUUUUCUUGAGGUGGACAUCUUACCACUGCAAAGAGAUGUCAUCGGUCAGGCACUAAAACUUCUCCACACACUUAAUGUGGCCAUGAGCUCUUCAGAAUCUGACCUGAUGCAACACUGCAAAGCAGCUCUCUCCCAGCAGAAAAGCUGAGACUGACUUUGAUGCUGAGGAUUCCGGAUGGACGGAGGGCUGUCUUCAUGGUAGCAGUCCUGCCCAAGACUGUGAACAGUGAGUAGAGAAAAGGAAGAGGGCGGGAGGAGGAUGGACAAGGAAAGGUGAAGAGAAGAACAAAGAAGAGGAGGAAGGAGGAAGAGCGGACGAAAAGGGUGAACUGACUGUUUCAUGUCAGCUUGACACAGCUAGGGUCAUCAGACAGGUGGAGCCUCAACUGAGAAAAUGCCUCUGUAAUGUCAGGCUGUGGUCAAACCUGUAGGGCAUUUUCUUAAGCAGUGAUUGAUGCGGGAGGACCCAGCCCACUGUGGGUGGUGCCAUCCCUAGGCUGGUGGUCCUGGGUUCUAUAAGAAAGCAGGUUGAGCAAGCCAUGAUGAGCAAGCCAGUAAGUAGAACCCCUCCAUGGCCUCUGCACCAGCUCCUACUCCAGUUUCCUGCUCUGUCCUGACUUCCUUCAAUGAUGAACAGUGAUAUGGAAGUGUAAGCCAA